rnacentral:piRNA from 1 species
UGCCGCAUGUAUUUGACAAAA